rnacentral:lncRNA from 1 species
GUUUCUCAUCUAUGAAAGGAGGAGACUAUGACGUGGGCCACCUAAGAUCCACUCACAAGGAAUCUCCGCCUAGAAUGCUAAACCGGACCACGGAGUCCACUUGGACAACAUCUAGGAGCAUCCAAUUCACCACUGGUCCUUCCAAACUCUGUUCUGUCAGGACGUUCCAGAGCUCUGCUGUGGCCAACACAUGCUGAGAAAUUUCCCACUCCUUUUGGGAUACAAAUAUGCACACCCACACGCCAUACGUACCAAGAACAGAGCAGGAAAUGGCACUUCAAAUGAUCCUUAAAUUAUCUGGUCAGACACACAGGAGAGAGAGGAAAGGGAGAAAAAGAAACCCAGCUCUUCAAACUCCCCCAGAACACAUGCCCUUGAAUUUCGCUUCCUGCUCCCACUCAAACACUUCAAGAGUUAGUUUAAAUAAACGCCCAUAGAGGC